CCUGUACAAGCCAGAGAGCUCUAGCCAUGGACAAAGACAGCUUCUCAGAUCCCUAUGCCAUAGUUUCGUUCCUCCACCAGAGCCCAGAAGACGGUGACGGUGCGUAACACGUUGAACCCCACCUGGGACCAGACACUCAUCUUCUACGAGGUGGAGUUGUGGAGACGCCGAUGUGACAGAGAGAAACCCUCCUAACAUCGUGGUGGAGCUGUACGAUCAGGAUACAUAUGGGGCAGAUGAGUUCAUGGGUCGCUGUGUGUGUCAGCCCUCCACGACCCCCUCCCCUCGUCUGGCCUGGUAUCCAAUCAGGAGGGGAGACAGGAGCGCAGGAGAACUGCUGGCUGCCUUCGAACUCAUACGGCGAGAGAAGCCCGCUGAUCAUCACAUCCCUGGACAGGAGG